CCAUUACUUAAAUGUGGAUGUGCUUGCUUUGCUCCACAACAGUAAGUGCUUCCAUGUUUUAGUGGUGG
rnacentral:pre_miRNA from 1 species